CAAUGCCGCGUGGAUGAAGAAGGUUUUCGGAUUGUAAAGUCCUUUCGGCGGGGACGAUGAUGACGGUACCCGCAGAAGAAGCCCCGGCUAACUUCGUGC
rnacentral:rRNA from 1 species